rnacentral:lncRNA from 1 species
UGUAAAGUAGAUAGAUAAAACAUGAAUCAUAUGCAAAAUGAGAGGCAUUCGGUUAUAUGAACGACUAGCUAAUUUCCAAACUUAAACUAACAUAUGAAUAGAAGGUAAAAACCAACUCAAGGCUAGGCAAGACAGAUUCUAUGAAACGGGUACAACGAAUAAACUCAAAACAAUAGCAACUCCCAUGCGAGAAAAUCACAAAUAACAUACAAAUACCAACUUUUUAAAUGCCAAAUUGAGACAAAAUUGAUCCAAUGGAGAUUCACAUACUUUUAAAAAAAAUAAUCAAACUUAUGAAAGAAAAUAAUUGAACUGCUCAAUCAUAAGGUAAAACAGAGUAAUCCGCUAACAAUAACAUCAAAUUAAUAUCAAAGUAAUCACUACAUCGAGAAUAUACAAUGAUUUAUAUAAGACGAUAAAAGUUUACCUUUUCCGGGGCAGGGACUGGGACGAUGAGCUUGACUAUGAAGCAACCCCCACUACCACAACAAAGUUUCGUUGAAGAAUCCUCCGAAUUCCAGAAACCAAAAGCCUCGAUUCCGAUGAAGCUUAUUUGAGUCGUUCUUAAUAUCCAAAAUAUCUAUAUUUUUGAGGUGAU